rnacentral:rRNA from 1 species
AUACGGAGGGGGCAAGCGUUGUUCGGAAUUACUGGGCGUAAAGGGCGCGUAGGCGGUCCGAGAAGUUUCGGGUGAAAGCCCCGGGCUCAACCCGGGAAGGUCCCGGAAAACCAUCGGACUUGAGUGCUGGAGAGGCAAGCGGAAUUUCUGGUGUAGCGGUGAAAUGCGUAGAUAUCAGAAGGAACAUCGGAGGCGAAGGCGGCUUGCUGGACAGCAACUGACGCUGAGGCGCGAAAGCCAGGGGAGCAAACGGGAUUAGAAACCCCUGUAGUCC